GGGGGUAACGAGUGUAGGUUCAUCUGGGUCCACCUCCCACCCGUGUUUAUUUUACCUUGUUGCUUCGGCGGGCCCGCCUUAACUGGCCGCCGGGGGGCUCACGCCCCCGGGCCCGCGCCCGCCGAAGACACCCUCGAACUCUGUCUGAAGAUUGUAGUCUGAGUGAAAAUAUAAAUUAUUUAAAACUUUCAACAACGGAUCUCUUGGUUCCGGCAUCGAUGAAGAACGCAGCGAAAUGCGAUACGUAAUGUGAAUUGCAAAUUCAGUGAAUCAUCGAGUCUUUGAACGCACAUUGCGCCCCCUGGUAUUCCGGGGGGCAUGCCUGUCCGAGCGUCAUUGCUGCCCUCAAGCACGGCUUGUGUGUUGGGCCCCGUCCUCCGAUCCCGGGGGACGGGCCCGAAAGGCAGCGGCGGCACCGCGUCCGGUCCUCGAGCGUAUGGGGCUUUGUCACCCGCUCUGUAGGCCCGGCCGGCGCUUGCCGAUCAACCCAAAUUUUUUAUCCAGGUUGACCUCGGAUCAGGUAGGGAUACCCGCUGAACUUAAGCAUAUCAAUAAGCGGAGGAA
rnacentral:rRNA from 1 species